rnacentral:rRNA from 1 species
AGGGCGCAUGGUGAAUGCCUUGGUAUCAGGAGCCGAUGAAGGACGUGAUAAGCUGCGAUAAGCUUCGGGUAGGCGCACAUAGCCUGAGAUCCGAAGAUCUCCGAAUGAGGAAACUCACAUGGGAAACCCCAUGUAUCAUUAAGUGAAUACAUAGCUUAAUGAAGGUAACCCAGGGAACUGAAACAUCUAAGUACCUGGAGGAAGAGAAAGAAAAAUCGAUUUUCUUAGUAGCGGCGAGCGAAAGGGAAAAAGCCCAAACCGGAAACUUGUUUCCGGGGUUGUGGACAGAACAUAACGAUUGGUAGGACGUAAUCGAAGAGAACUGGAAAGUUCCACCGUAGAAGGUAAUAGUCCUGUAGAUGAAACGGGAAAUCAAUCAGUUCUGAUCCAGAGUACCACGAGACACGUGAAACCUUGUGGGAAGCAGGGAGGACCACCUCCCAAGGCUAAAUACUACCUGAUGACCGAUAGUGAAGCAGUACCGUGAGGGAAAGGUGAAAAGAACCCCGGGAGGGGAGUGAAAUAGAACCUGAAACCGUGUGCCUACAACCGCUCAGAGCCCCUUAUGAGGGUGAUGAGGUGCUUUUUGUAGAACGAGCCAACGAGUUACGGUAUGUAGCAAGGUUAAGUACUUAAGGUACGGAGCCGAAGGGAAACCGAGUCUGAAUAGGGCGACUAGUUGCAUGCCGUAGACCCGAAACCGGGUGACCUAUCCAUGGCCAGGUUGAAGCGAGGGUAAAACCUCGUGGAGGACCGAACCACGUUGCUGUUGAAAAAGCAUGGGAUGAGCUGUGGAUAGCGGAGAAAUUCCAAUCGAACCCGGAGAUAGCUGGUUCUCUCCGAAAUAGCUUUAGGGCUAGCGUCGAGUAUGAGUAGUGGAGGUAGAGCACUGAAUGGGCUAGGGGGCAUAGCGCUUACCGAACCUUAUCAAACUCCGAAUGCCACAUACUUUGAGCUCGGCAGUCAGACUACGAAUGAUAAGAUCCGUGGUCAAAAGGGAAACAGCCCAGAUCGUCAGCUAAGGUCCCAAAGUGUAAGUUAAGUGGGAAAGGAUGUGAGAUUUCUAAGACAACUAGGAUGUUGGCUUAGAAGCAGCCAUUCAUUAAAAGAGUGCGUAAUAGCUCACUAGUCGAGAGAUCUUGCGCCGAAAAUGUAACGGGGCUAAACUUACCACCGAAGCUACGGGCUUGAACUUAGUUCAAGCGGUAGGAGAGCGUCGUAACCGGGCUGAAGUCGUACCGUAAGGAGCGGUGGACUGGUUACGAGUGAGAAUGUUGGCAUCAGUAGCGAGAUGUGGGUGAGAAUCCCACAGGCCGAAAACCUAAGGUUUCCUCAGGAAGGUUCGUCCGCUGAGGGUUAGUCGGGACCUAAGCCGAGGCCGAAAGGCGUAGGUGAUGGACAACUGGUUGAUAUUCCAGUACCACUACCAUCGUUAUUAUCGAUGGCGUGACGCAGGAGGAUAGUGUGUGCUAGCUAUUGGAUGCUAGUCUAAGCGUUUAGGCAGUGAGAGUAGGCAAAUCCGCUCUCAUAAUGCUGAGGCGUGAUGGGGAAGGUUCUACGGAACCGAAGUACAUGAUUCCACGCUGCCAAGAAAAGCGUCUAGAGAGAGAAGUAGUGCCCGUACCGCAAACCGACACAGGUAGGUGAGGAGAGAAUCCUAAGGCCGGCGGAAGAAUUACAGUUAAGGAACUCGGCAAAUUGACCCCGUAAGUUCGCGAGAAGGGGUGCCUACGAGAGUAGGCCGCAGAGAAUAGGCCCAAGCAACUGUUUAGCAAAAACACAGGUCUCUGCUAAAGCGUAAGCUGAUGUAUAGGGGCUGACGCCUGCCCGGUGCUGGAAGGUUAAGGGGAACACUUAGCGUAAGCGAAGGUGUGAACUUAAGCCCCAGUAAACGGCGGCCGUAACUAUAACGGUCCUAAGGUAGCGAAAUUCCUUGUCAGGUAAGUUCUGACCCGCACGAAUGGCGUAAUGACUUGGGCACUGUCUCAACUGUAAAUCCGGCGAAGUUGUAGUGCGAGUGAAGAUGCUCGCUACCCGCGAUUGGACGGAAAGACCCCGUAGAGCUUUACUGUAGCUUAGCAUUGAGUUUUGGUAUUGUCUGUACAGGAUAGGUGGGAGACUAGGAAACCAGGGCGUCAGCCUUGGUGGAGUCAACCUUGGGAUACCACCCUGACAGUACUGAAAUUCUAACUGGCGGCCAUGAAUCUGGUCACAGGACAUUGUUAGGUGGGCAGUUUGACUGGGGCGGUCGCCUCCUAAAAAGUAACGGAGGCGCCCAAAGGUUCCCUCAGAACGGUCGGAAAUCGUUCGAAGAGUGCAAAGGCAGAAGGGAGCCUGACUGCGACACCCACAAGUGGAGCAGGGACGAAAGUCGGGCUUAGUGAUCCGGUGGUACCUCGUGGGAGGGCCAUCGCUCAACGGAUAAAAGCUACCUCGGGGAUAACAGGCUGAUCUCCCCCAAGAGUCCACAUCGACGGGGAGGUUUGGCACCUCGAUGUCGGCUCGUCGCAUCCUGGGGCUGAAGUAGGUCCCAAGGGUUGGGCUGUUCGCCCAUUAAAGCGGCACGCGAGCUGGGUUCAGAACGUCGUGAGACAGUUCGGUCCCUAUCCGUCGCGGGCGUAGGAAAUUUGAGAGGAGCUGUCCUUAGUACGAGAGGACCGGGAUGGACUGACCUCUGGUGUACCAGUUGUUCCGCCAGGAGCACAGCUGGGUAGCUAAGUCGGGAAUGGAUAAACGCUGAAAGCAUCUAAGCGUGAAGCCAACCUCAAGAUGAGAUUUCCCAUAGCAUAAGCUAGUAAGAUCCCUUGA